rnacentral:rRNA from 1 species
CACCAGCGCCACAAGUGGCAAUCGCGAUUAUUGGGCCUAAAGCGUUCGUAGCCGGAUUAGUAAAUCUUUUGUGAAAUCGUGCGGCUUAACCGUACGGCGUGCAGGAGACACUGCCGAUCUAGAGACCGGGAGGGGUUAGAGGUAUUCGUAGGGGACUGGUAAAAUGGUAUAAUCCUACGAGGACCACCGAUGGCGAAGGCAUCUAACCAGAACGGAUCUGACGGUGAGGAACGAAAGCCAGGGGAGCGAACCGGAUUAGAUACCCGAGUAGUCCUGGCCGUAAACGCUGCCAGCUAGGUGUUGCAUAUCUUAUAGGGAUGUGCAGUGUCGAAUCGAAGGAGUUAAGCUGGCCGCCUGGGAAGUACGGUCGCAAGGCUGAAACUUUAAGGAAUUGGCGGGGGAGCACUACAAGGGGUGCGGCGUGCGGUUUAAUCUAACUCAACGCAGAGAACCUCACUAGAAGCGACGGCAGGAUGAAGGCCAGGCUGAUGACCUUGCCUGAUUUUCCGAGAGGUGGUGCAUGGCCGUCGUCAGUUCGUACCGUAAGGCGUUCUGUUAAGUCAGACAACGAACAAGACCCUCAUUUUUAGUUGCUACUGGUAAGUCCGCUUAUCAGGCACACUAAAGAGACCGCUGGCGCUAAGUCAGAGGAAGGCGAGGGCGACGGUAGGUCAGUAUGCCCUGAAUCCUUCGGGCUACACGCGCGCUACAAAGGCCAGGACAAUGGGCUUCGACACCGAAAGGUGAAGGUAACCCCGAAACCUGGUCAUAGUUCGGAUCGAGGGUUGAAACUCACCCUCGUGAAGGUGGAUUCCGUAGUAAUCGCGUGUCAACAUCACGCGGUGAAUAUGCCCCUGCUCCU